rfam:Ictidomys tridecemlineatus contig059080, whole genome shotgun sequence.
GGGGGUGUAGCUCCGUGGUAGAGUGUUUGCCUAGCAUGCAGGAGGCCCUGAGUUCAGUCCUCAGUACUGCAA